UGGGGAAUCUUGGACAAUGGGGGCAACCCUGAUCCAGCCAUGCCGCGUGAGCGAUGAAGGCCUUAGGGUUGUAAAGCUCUUUCAGCGGGGAAGAUAAUGACGGUACCCGCAGAAGAAGCCCCGGCUAACUCCGUGCCAGCAGCCGCGGUAAUACGGAGGGGGCUAGCGUUGUUCGGAAUUACUGGGCGUAAAGCGCACGUAGGCGGACCAUCAAGUUGGGGGUGAAAUCCCGGGGCUCAACCGCGGAACUGCCUCCAAAACUGCUGGUGUGGAGGUCGAGAGAGGUGAGUGGAAUUCCGAGUGUAGAGGUGAAAUUCGUAGAUAUUCGGAGGAACACCAGUGGCGAAGGCGGCUCACUGGCUCGAUACUGACGCUGAGGUGCGAAAGCGUGGGGAGCAAACA
rnacentral:rRNA from 1 species